UGGUGGGUAGUUUGACUGGGGCGGUCUCCUCCUAAAGAGUAACGGAGGAGCACGAAGGUUGGCUAAUCCUGGUCGGACAUCAGGAGGUUAGUGCAAUGGCAUAAGCCAGCUUGACUGCGAGCGUGACGGCGCGAGCAGGUGCGAAAGCAGGUCAUAGUGAUCCGGUGGUUCUGAAUGGAAGGGCCAUCGCUCAACGGAUAAAAGGUACUCCGGGGAUAACAGGCUGAUACCGCCCAAGAGUUCAUAUCGACGGCGGUGUUUGGCACCUCGAUGUCGGCUCAUCACAUCCUGGGGCUGAAGUAGGUCCCAAGGGUAUGGCUGUUCGCCAUUUAAAGUGGUACGCGAGCUGGGUUUAGAACGUCGUGAGACAGUUCGGUCCCUAUCUGCCGUGGGCGCUGGAGAACUGAGGGGGGCUGCUCCUAGUACGAGAGGACCGGAGUGGACGCAUCACUGGUGUUCGGGUUGUCAUGCCAAUGGCACUGCCCGGUAGCUAAAUGCGGAAGAGAUAAGUGCUGAAAGCAUCUAAGCACGAAACUUGCCCCGAGAUGAGUUCUCCCUGAGACUACGAGUCUCCUGAAGGAACGUUGAAGACGACGACGUUGAUAGGCCGGGUGUGUAAGCGCAGCGAUGCGUUGAGCUAACCGGUACUAAUGAACCGUGAGGCUUAACCUUACAACGCCGAAG
rnacentral:rRNA from 1 species